rnacentral:lncRNA from 1 species
CAGAUAUCACUGCAGGUUUUGGUGUGUGGCUUUUUAGCCACCUGUAUUUGUAUCUUCUUUUACUAUUAUUGAAGCUUUCAGACCUUAUUUUAUCAAAAAAAAAAUCUUUUCAAGAUCAACUCAAUUCUGUCUCAUUUUAUGUUGCAUGUCGCAGAGUCUAUUCCUUUUUUUUCUUCCCCUCGUGUCCCUUCUUAUUCCGCAGUGAUGGACCACCCACU